AGUAUAUUUAAAGACCAUCUUGAGGCUUGGCAUCUCUCUCUGUCUCUGCUGUUCAUUUCUGCUCAUUUCUGCUGCUGCUCUGCCUGCUGACUGAGAGAGACUGAGGAGCUACUGCUGGUGCUGGUGCUGGUGCUGCUGGUGCUGCUGCUUUGGUUGCCUUGCCUUGAGGUCUGGACUGGUAGUCUCCAGAGAGAGGAGUUGAAAGGGUUUUGAUGGUUCCCUCCCAGGAGAUGACACACUCAAAGCAAAGGGUAAUUAAAGCCGAUUGAGAAUGGAUGAGUCAUAGCUGCAGAGAUCCUGGGCAGAAACAGCAAGCAAUCAAGAUCAUGCCGUUGAGUCGAGGUAAAAGCUGUUCAAAUUUGCCUUCAGAUCAAAAGCCUAGGUUGCCAGCUGAUACUCUCUGCAGAGCUUGAAGGUGGGGUCCUAGCAGAUGUAUCCCAGAUAACAUACCAUGCAUAUAUUCUUAGGACCAGACAGUCUCUCUGAGCUAACCACCCAGCAUCAGCACAAAUAACCCAGCAGAGAAGAGCCACAAUCGACACAAUCUGCUGUAUAAUCAGUACACUCUGUAACAUUUCUAGAUAUUUUUGCUUAAGAUCACAAGAUCUCCUAUGAGAGUGUCCUUGAGCCAACAUCUGCAUUAUUCACUCAUCUUUUCACAAGAAUGUACAGAAUAAAAAUUAAUUUAUUAAAAAAUGAGUGAGCCAGUUAAAGUGAAGAAAAGUGAUAAUGAUAACGGAUGACAUCUGCAUUCUGGCAAAUACUCUGCUCUGGAGCUACCUGGAAAAUAAAGGUAAAGGUCUUGUUGUUGUGAAUGUCAUGGAGGAAGAAGCUCAUCUGGUAGCAAGAAUGUAUGAAGCUAAAACUGGUGAAGGGGAACCAGUUUUGCAAAUAUCUUUUUGCAAAUACCAUCAAAAACUCUCUCCUUGAUUUGGGGAUUCUUUAUGAGAGGACUGCGAAGCUGCUCUAUCUUUAGAAUAACUUCUGAUUGACUAUCACCCUUGUGAUCAGGACAAGAAGUAUUGCCCUCAUUCUAUAAGCAUAAUUGCCUUUGUGAUAUCAACAUGUAGUUAAUCUGAUUGGUCACAUAGCAUUGUGACAUCAUCAUGUCAUCUCAUGAUCUAUGAUUCACUUGAAGAAGAGGUGAUUUUAAAGGAAGAUAAGAGGGGAGGAUAAUUGGGGGAAACGGCUAUGAAAAGUUGUGAAUAACCACUAAGGCAGGCUUCCCCAAACUGCGGCCCUCCAGAUGUUGCUGAACUACAACUCCCAGCAUCCCGAGCCACAAUUUAUUGGGUAUGCUGGGUAUGCUGGGGGUUGUCGUUCAGCAACAUCUGAAGGGCCGC